rnacentral:rRNA from 1 species
UUCGCCUACGGGACGCAGCAGUGGGGGAUAUUGCACAAUGGGGGGAACCCUGAUGCAGCGACGCCGCGUGGGCGAUGGAGUGCUUCGGCAUGUAAAUCCCUAUCAGCAGGGAAGAAAAUGACGGUACCUGACUAAGAAGCCCCGGCUAAGUACGUGCCAGCAGCCGCGGUAAUACGUAUGGGGCAAGCGUUAUCCGGAAUCACUGGGUGUAAAGGGAGCGUAGACGGCUGUGCAAGCCUGAAGUGAAAGGCGGGGGCCCAACCCCUGGACUGCUUUGGGAACUGUACGGCUGGAGUGCAGGAGAG